AGCGAACGCUGGCGGCAGGCUUAACACAUGCGAGUCGAGCGGGCCCUUCGGGGUCAGCGGCGGACGGGUGAGUAACGCGUGGGAACGUGCCUUCUGGUCUGGAAUAACCCUGGGAAACUAGGGCUAAUACCGGAUACGCCCUUUUGGGGAAAGGUUUACUGCCGGAAGAUCGGCCCGCGUCUGAUUAGCUAGUUGGUGGGGUAACGGCCUACCAAGGCGACGAUCAGUAGCUGGUCUGAGAGGAUGAUCAGCCACACUGGGACUGAGACACGGCCCAGACUCCUACGGGAGGCAGCAGUGGGGAAUAUUGGACAAUGGGCGCAAGCCUGAUCCAGCCAUGCCGCGUGAGUGAUGAAGGCCUUAGGGUUGUAAAGCUCUUUUAUCCGGGACGAUAAUGACGGUACCGGAGGAAUAAGCCCCGGCUAACUUCGUG
rnacentral:rRNA from 1 species